rnacentral:rRNA from 1 species
UCCCUACGGGAGGCAGCAGUGAGGAAUAUUGGUCAAUGGCCGAGAGUCUGAACCAGCCAAGCAGCGUGAAGGAUGACUGCCCCAUGGGUUGUAAACUUCUUUUAUAUGGGAAUAAAAUGUUCCACGAGUGGGAUUUUGUAUGUACCUUAUGAAUAAGGAUCGGCUAACUCCGUGCCAGCAGCCGCGGUAAUACGGAGGAUCCGAGCGUUAUCCGGAUUUAUUGGGUUUAAAGGGAGCGCAGGCGGUUUGUUAAGUCAGUUGUGAAAGUUUGCGGCUCAACCGUGAACU